CUGCUCGCUUUGGCAACACAUAUACUAAAAUUGGAAUGGUACAGAGAAGAUUAGCAUGGCCCCUGCACAAGGAUGACACAUGAAUCUGUGAAGUGUUCCAUAUAAAA
rnacentral:snRNA from 1 species